UACAGAGAGUGCAAGCGUUGUUCGGAAUUACUGGGCGUAAAGGGCUCGUAGGCGGCCAACUAAGUCGGAUGUGAAAUCCCCAGGCUUAACCUGGGAACUGCGUCCGAUACUGGAUGGCUUGAAUCCGGGAGAGGGAUGCAGAAUUCCAGGUGUAGCGGUGAAAUGCGUAGAUAUCUGGAGGAAUACCAGUGGCGAAGGCGGCUUCUUGGCCUGUUCUUGACGCUGAGGCGCGAAAGCUGGGGGAGCAAACGGG
rnacentral:rRNA from 1 species